rnacentral:lncRNA from 1 species
AUGCCCGAGUGGGUGAGAGACUGCACAGAGAAGAGACAAGACUGCCACCUCCUCUGCAAACCUCACAGAAAUGACUCCACUGUCAGGAUUUCCUGGAGGGCCACCUUUGCACAUAUGUUUGAGAAGAGGCUGGCAACUCUGAGGUGCUCCUUGAACAUGCUGUGCAUAUAUCUUGCAUCCAUCUUUUCACUUGGGAACCUCUUUGGAUGCUGUGAAGGUCUACGCCAUGUGGUAAGCCCUGCAGCCAUGUUGAAUCACUGUGAUUUUAUAUUAUUACCUUGCUUGUGGUCUCACUGGGGUUCUGGCUUGCCCCUAUUUCUAUACUAAAAUGUGAAUUCCUCUCCCAUCUGGGGACAUACCCCAUGAGUCUCACCACACGUGCCAAUGACAGACAGAUUGAUUUGGAGAGUAUUACUAAUGGGUUGGUUUGGGCCUCAGCCACAAAUAUAAUCAAAAUCUCCUCUCAAAUUCUAAUUAUUUUCAAAAUAUGUGAUAUCUUGGAUUGAUGUAAUCAGAACCACAAGAGGGCGUGAAAUGUGACAGCAGAAAGUAGCACAGCUCAAGGUUCAUCUGGCCUAAAGGAUUCACAUUGUGUGUAUUUUCGUUCCUGUUCUGUUGUGAGCCAGUCAGUCCGAGCUCAAAAGACCUGAGCAAAUUGCACUGUGUGGUGCCCCAGCAGCCAACUAAUUACUGUCUCCACUAGAAUGGAAGGCUUCAUGAAGGUACCUAGCUGGCCUGCUAUACAUAUUCAUUGAAGGAAGGCAGGAAGGAAGGAAGAAAAGAAGGGAGGGAGGGAGAGAGGGAGGGAGGAAGGAAAGGAAGACUAGCUCUAUGACUCUGAUCAAUACUCAGUUGUCUUGUCUGUAAAAUUGGGACAAACAUAUGGUCUCAUAGGGAUGUUAUGAGAAUUAAAUGAGAGAGAUUCUAAAGUUAAGACCUUUGUUUGUUUUAAUUCUUAGAAGAGCUUCUGGAGUUAAGCACAAAAAACCAUCCUCAUUUUAUAAAAGGGAAGCCAAUGUGCAGAAAGGCUAAUGAAUUUGCCAAAGACUGCAGAACUGGCAAAUGUUAGAUCCAAUAUUUGAAUCAAGGAUGCUAGAUUCUAAAACCCUUAAACUGGUUUACCAAACUGCUAACAAACUGGGCAGAUGAACUCAACACAGAAAAUCUCAAGGAUGUCCAGGUCUGGAUUCUGUUUCUUCUAUCCUGGUCUCUGUCUAGUCUAAGUUUUGUCUUGAUCUACAACUUCUGGGGAGUGGAAAAAAAAAUAAGAGUGAUAUAAAAAUCUGGGAUCGGUAUGUUAAGGAAGAAGAAAGGAAAGAGAAAAUAAUGAGCUUUAUUUAACUAAACCAUUCCUGUUGCCUAAUAUUUAAAUAUACAUUUGGAAAUUUUGCAAAAUCUGCUACGGUGGAGUCAAUUAGGGAGGAGACUUAGGUAAAGGGGAAGAUGGACUGAGCAGUUUUGGAAGAUGUGGUGUGAUGACUGAAUGCCCAUUCUCAUAGACGCUAUGAAUGGAGUGGGCUCAGCAACAGGAGGCCACCAGAACUCAUAUUUGUGAGACAGAGAGUAAGAAAUCAAAGUGACUUCUUCUCCCUACUUCUAACUAUUGAAAACAUAUUGAACAAUAAAAGCCAUUCCGUGCUCUGAAUUAGAAAGGUGAUGAGGUUGAUGUAGUUCAAUGUCACUCAUACACACAUACAUCCUUUUCUUAUGUUCUUAAAUAUGUCAUUGACAUGGAGAAAAGGAGAUUAAAAAGAGAAAGAGAAGCAACAGGAGAUGUAGGCAAAGAGCACUGGUAAAUUGGAUCAUGUGCUCAAGAUAGAUCUUUCCAGCUCUUAAAAAUUUUGUUCCUUUUUAAAUUUUUUUUCAUUUCUGAAAUGGUUCAAUCUCCUUGAAAAAAAUUUACAUAACACGUGGCUUAGUGAGGAAUAAACAGAGAAGAUCUAGAAAGCACUUUGCAGGUCAUUAACUGCUAUAUAAAUAGUAAACACAUAAUAAUGUUAAUAGCUUUAAGGACAGGCAUAACUCAAAGGUAUUGUGGGUUCCAUUCCAGACCACCACAAUAAAAGUAAAUAUCCCAGUAACGUGAGGCAAAUGAAAUGUUUGGCUUUCCAGUGUCCAUAAAAGUUACAUACACACCAUACUGUAGCCUAUUAAGCGUGCAACAGCAUUCUUUAUGAUUAAAGAAACAUAUCUUAAUUUUAAAAAGUGCUUUCUUGCUAAAAAAUGCUAACCAUCAUCUGAGCUUUCAGUGAGUCAUAAUUGGUUUUGCUGGUGCAAGGUUUUGUCUCAGUGUUGAUGGCUGCUGACUGAUCAGAGUGGUGGUUGCUGAAGGCUGGGGUGGCUUAUUUCUUAAAAUAAGACAACAAUGAAGCUUGCCACAUCGAUCAAUUCUUCCUUUCAGGAAGGACUUCUCUGUAGUGUGUGAUGCUUUUUGACAGUAUUUUACCCAUGAUAGGACUUCUUUCACAACUGGAGUCAAAACUUUCAAAAAAUUGGAGUCUAGCCCUUAAGAAGUUUAUGUAAAAUUCUAAAUUGUUCAUUGCCAUUUCAACCAUCUUCACAGCAUCUUCACCAAGAAUAGAUUCUAUUUCAAGAAGCCAGUUUCCUCCCUCAUCCAUAAGAAGCAACUCCUCAUUUGUUAAUGUUUUAUCAUGAAAUUGUAGCAACUCAAUCCCACCCUCAGGUCCCAUUUCUACUUCUAGCUCUCUUGCUAUUUCCACCACACCUGCACUCACUUCCUCCACUGAAGUCUUGAACCCCAAAAGUCAUCCAUGAAGGUUAGAAUCAACUUCUUCCUAGCUCCUGUUCAGGUUGAUACUUUAACCUCUUCCCAUGACUCAUGAAAGUUCUUAAUAGCAUCUAGAAUCGUGAAUCUUUUCCGGAAGGUUUUCAAUUGACUUUGCCCGGAUUAUUCUGAGCAAUCACUAUCUGUGGUGGCCAUAGCCUUACAAAAUGUAUUUUUAAAAUAAUGAGACCUGAAAGUCAAAAUUACUCCUUGGUCCAGGGGCUGCAGAAUGGAUGUUGUGUUAGCAGGCAUUAAGACAGCAUUGAUCUUAUUGGAUAGCCCAUCAGAGCUCUUGUCUGGCUAGAUUGUCAAUAUUUUGAAAGGGAUCUUUUUUUUUUUUUUUUUUUUUCCUGAGUGGUAAGGCUCAGCAGUAGGCUUAAAAUAUUCAUUAAACCAGAUGUACUGUCACUUUGUCGUUCCACUUAUAGGGUACAGGCAGAGUAUAUUUAGAAGGAUUCUUAAGGGCCCUAGGAUUUUCAGGGUGGUAAAUGAGCACUAGCUUCAACUUAACAUCACCAGCUGCAUUAGCCCCUAACAAGAGAGUCAACCUGUCCUUUGAAGCUUUGAUGUCAGUCAUUGAUCGACUUCUCUUCUCUGGCUAUGAACAUCCGAGGUGCCUCAUCUCUCAAUAUGAUGAUGCUAUUGUAUCUGCAUUGAAAAUCUGUUGUUUAGCGUAACCACCUUUAUUAAUUAUCUGAGUUAGAUCUCUGGAUAACUUGUAGCUUGGACAUCAGCACUUGCUGCCUCAUCUUGCAGCACUUUUACGUUAUGACGAUGGCUUCUUUCCUUAAAUCUCAGGAGCCAACCUCUGCUUAGCUUCAAACUUUUCUCCUGCAGCUUCCUCUCCUCUCAAGCUUUGGUUUAAAGGAAUAUUGUGGCUUGUUAAAUCUAUCCAGAUCACUAAAACUUUCUCCAUAUCAGCAAUAAGGCUGAUUUAUUUUUUUAUCAUAUGUGUGCUCAUUGGGCUCGCACUUUUCAUUUCUUUCAAGAACUUUCCCGUUGCAUUCACAACUUUGCUAACUGUUGGGCCUAGCUUUUGACUUAUUUCAGCUUUCAACAUGCCUUGCUCACUAAACUUCAUCAUUUCUAGCUUCUGAUAUAAAUGAGAGGCAGUAACUUUUCCUUUCACUUGAACGUUUAGAGGCCAUUGUAGGGGAUAUUAAUUGGCCUAAUUUCAAUCUUGUCCUAUUUCAGGGACUGGGAGGCCUGAGGAGAGAGAGAGAGACAAAGAGACAGAGAGACAGAAGGGGAAACAGCCGGUUGCUAGAGCCAUCAGAGCACAACACAACAUUUAUCAAUUAAAUUUACCAUCUUAUACAAGUGCAGUUUGUGGUGCCCCAAAACAAUUAUAAUAGUAACAUCAAAGAUCAUGUAACACAGAUCACCACAACAAAUAUAAUCAUAAUGAAAAAGCUUGAAAUAUUGCAAGAAUUAUCAAAGUGUAAUUUUGAUAGAUGCGAAGUGAGUGAAUGCUGUUGGAAAAAUGGCACCAAUACAUCUGCUUGAGGCAGGGUUGCCACAAACCCCCGAUUUGUAAAAUACACAGUGUGCAAAGUGUGCUACAGUGAAGUGCAAUAAAACAGGGUAUGGCUACAUCCUAUUUGAUCUGCAAUGCCCUCCAGUAAUGAUGUUAUGGAAUUAGGGAGGGCUAAUAAUUUGGCAAAAUGAAAAAUGAGAAAAAAGAGAAAUGUGUAUGAUCUUAUAAAUGUUUGGCCAUAUUAUAAAGUUAAGAUAAAAUUGCCUUUGAUCUCUAUCUGAAACCAAACAUUUGUUGAAAAUUCUUAUUCUUGGCAAAGCACCUCCCUCAGGCCUUUAAAGAGCUAAUUUGGGGAGCUAAUAUGCGUUCUCCAGCAUCAAUUAACA